rnacentral:rRNA from 1 species
CUAAGUUUGAUGGCGACCGGCGCACGGGUGAGUAACACGUAUCCAACCUGGCCGAUGACUCGGGGAUAGCCUUUCGAAAGAAAGAUUAAUACCCGAUGGCAUAGUUCUUCCGCAUGGUGGAACUAUUAAAGAAUUUCGGUCAUCGAUGGGGAUGCGUUCCAUUAGGUUGUUGGCGGGGGUAACGGCCCACCAAGCCUUCGAUGGAUAGGGGUUCUGAGAGGAAGGUCCCCCCACAUUGGAACUGAGACACGGUCCAAACUCCUACGGGAGGCAGCAUG